UACGUAGGGGUGCAAGCGUUUAAUCGGAAUUACUGGGCGUAAAGCGUGCGCAGGCGGUUUUGUAAGUUUGUCGUGAAAGCCCCGGGCUCAACCUGGGAAUGGCGAUGAAGACUGCAAGGCUUGAAUCUGGCAGAGGGGGGUAGAAUUCCACGUGUAGCAGUGAAAUGCGUAGAGAUGUGGAGGAACACCGAUGGCGAAGGCAGCCCCC
rnacentral:rRNA from 1 species